rnacentral:lncRNA from 1 species
CGGCGUCACAGAUGCGGCACUGCUAACUGCUCAUCUGAGUGUUACAUUGGUAAAAGAAGAGUGGAUGGUUUGAAAGCAAUCCUGCGUCUCAUCCGAAGAGCAGAGGAGAGCAGCAGAACCACCACAGUAACAUCUCCACAGAGCAGCUCUGCAUGGGUCCCACUGCUGUCACCUGGGGUGGAUGCAGAGGAUCCUGAAGUGGAGGUGGCUCAAAGUGGGGCUCCAAGUUGCUCCAUUGUUACCACAGCCUCACAGCACUGCUACAGAAAAGCCGCCAGGCUUAAAGAGGUGAUGAUUACAAUUGCAAAACCAAAUAGCUGUUGCUCAGAACGACCAGAAUUUCAGCCCAAGCAGGCAGAGCGUGUGCUGCAGGCAGCAGGCUCAGCUGUGGGCAGUUGGGAGCGCUCUGCCUGCGGGAUCACUGCUCACCCCAUCCCUGUGGCUUUGGGUUCACGCUCAGCUCUGUGCCCGCUGUGUGCCGUGUGGGGCUGUGCGGUGUCAGGGAGGUGGGGCAAUUCCUGCUGCUGUGUUGAGAGCUGCCAGUGCUGCAGAUGUUGCUGCAGUACAAAUAAUUGUAUCAACAAAACGAUUUCUAAGUGCUCACAGCACUGUGUGACCUUUGCUUCUCGUCCCCAAAUGCGUUUCCUUUUCUUUUCUCGAGGCCUUUGGAAAAAUCUGGCUCCUUCCACGAUGACUCAGAGAGGAGGAAACGCAAUCCCUGCUCCGUGUGCCACCCCCGGGACAGAGCAGUGCUGACACCAUCGCAGCCUUCGCCCUGAGAAGCCCUGGGAGGGUCAGGGCUGUUCCUUCCAGAUACCGACCAGAUCCCUUCUCACAGCCUUCUCCAUUGUGAGGAUGGAUUAUCCAGUGCCUACAAAGGCUGUGUGACUUUGUAUCGAGUGGGCAACCCGGAUAAGGAGGGUUUGUUGAUGGACUUGGGGUGGUUUUGCUCCAAUGUUUACCUACAAAGCACAGUGCCCGGGCUCGGUGCUGUCAUUGGAUGGGUGCCCUGUGGUGGAUGUGCUGCUCCCUCCGCACACCAGAGCCGUCGGAGUCGCCAUCUGCAGGCAGCCCCACAAUGGAGAUGCAGGAGGAAGCACGGGUGGAGCACAGCUGGGUUGGAAGGGACCCCA